GCCUGAUUAGCUCAGUUGGUAGAGCAUUAGACUUUUAAUCUGAGGGCCAGGUGUUUGAAUCCCCUUUUGGGCU